AAAAUCCUUGGCGAUCAGACUUGGACCAAGUCGCAGUGGUUCUGCCCGCUCGGAACCAAUUUGUGGCGGAGAAAGGGGAGAUUGGCGCUGAGAGUUGCCGCCGCAAAGGAUAGGUAGGGUCGCGCCGCCGCCGAGGAGGACCCGCAGGGUCGCGCUGCCGCCGCCCAAGUGAAGCGCUCCGCCUCACCGCGGUGGUAAUCAGCGCCGCCGAGCCCCCGCGGGAACCAGCUCCGCCGAGUCGCCGGGGAACUAGAAGAGCGUCGCCGUGCGCCGGGUAGCAGCAACUUGCCGCCACGGUCCACGGAGGAGCGCCACCCUGACCACCAUGUCCGGUUUCCCAGAAUUAAGUGUUGUGCAAUGGCAGAAAUUGGAAAGAGGACACCCAAAGUUGGUAUGAGGUUCAGAGAAUCGGAAGAGGUUUGGGAGUUUUGGGUAGAUUAUGGGGGGUCACAUCGGCUUUGAUGCGAGGAAAAGAUCCACAAUCAAAAGCAGAUGUGAUGGUGUGAUUACUUCACGCUGGUUUGUUUGUUCCAAUGAAGGCCAUCGAAGGAAAAACUCCUAUGUUGGUGGAAGCAAGCGAAGUAUACACUCCGAUUAUUUUGAGGCUUUCUAAGGUUGCAUGGAGAUUUACAGUUUGAGGAGGAGCGCAUAGUGGUAGGUGAUCCUUUGACCAAAACGGUUUCAUGUAGUUGUGGGAUGUUCAAUAGAACAGGAAUCUUGUGUGCACAUGGUCUAAAAGUGCUUGAUUUGAUGAACAUAAAGACAUUGCCGGCACAUUAUGUCUUGAAGAGGUCGACUAGAGAAGCUCGCAAUGGAAGUAUUGAAGAUAGACAAGGAAGGAAUGUGGUAGAAAAUCCAAAAAUGGAAGCUGAACUUCGAUACAAGGAUUUGUCUCAUAAAUUUCACAAAAUGGCACAAAAAGCAGCCAACUCUCCACAAUGUUGUAUUCUAUUGGAUAAUGCACUUGAUUCCGCCGCUCCGCAUAUACAUGAUUUACUCAAUGCAUCCACUAGUGCCAUGAAUGAACUAUGUAAAGACAAAGAGAAUGUUGACCCAAAUGUGCAGUAAGUAGAUGAGUUGCUUAGAUCUGCACGGCUGAACAAAAAAGAGGUUCAGUCAAAGAACUUAAGGAGAAAGAAAAAUUGGCUUGACAAGUUACUCAAGGGGAAGCACAGAGUAACUAAAGGACCAACAAAACAGGGAGAAAAGCCACAAAGGAAGAAGGAUGACAACAAAAGAAAAAAGAUGGUGUGCAGCCUCAAGUAGAAGUGGAGAAGUAUGACAACAACAAAGAAGUAAAUUUGGUGCUUCAAGAGUGCAAUAAUAUUAUGAGUUUCACCCAACUCUUGACGGCUGACCAUGAUAAUCUGUUCUAGCAUGGAAGCUCCUUAGAUAAUGUUUUGUACAUGGUGGUAAUGAUGAUGAUUAUCUGUUCUAGCAUGGAACUUGUUAGAUACAGUAGUAUUUUGGACAUGGUUAACUAUAGUAGUAUGGGGUUAACUAUAUUAUUUUGUAGCCUAAGUGUACAAGCAAGUGGUACUGAAUUUGAAUGUAUUGACCUUUUGAAUUACAAGCAAGUGGCACUGAAUUUCAAUCAAGUGGUACUUAGUUUGUAUUGUUAAAUUACUGCUGUUUUUGUUGCUAUAUGACC
rnacentral:rRNA from 1 species